UACGAAGGGGGCUAGCGUUGCUCGGAAUCACUGGGCGUAAAGGGUGCGUAGGCGGACUUUUAAGUCGGGGGUGAAAUCCCAGGGCUCAACCCUGGAACUGCCUUCGAUACUGGGAGUCUUGAGACCGGGAGAGGUGAGUGGAACUGCGAGUGUAGAGGUGAAAUUCGUAGAUAUUCGCAAGAACACCAGUGGCGAAGGCGGCUCACUGGACGACUGUUGACGCUGAGGUGCGAAAGCGUGGGGAGCAAACAGG
rnacentral:rRNA from 1 species